rnacentral:hammerhead_ribozyme from 1 species
GUACUGCUGAAGAGUCCCAAAAAAUAGGACGAAACAGCUGUCCAGCAC